GAUGAAGAACGUAGUGAAAUGCGAUAAGUAAUGUGAAUUGCAGAAUUCAGUGAAUCAUCGAAUCUUUGAACGCACAUUGCGCCCGCCAGCAUUCUGGCGGGCAUGCCUGUUCGAGCGUCAUUUCAACCCUCAAGCUCUGCUUGGUGUUGGGGCCCUACGGUUGACGUAGGCCCUUAAAGGUAGUGGCGGACCCUCUCGGAGCCUCCUUUGCGUAGUAACUAACGUCUCGCACUGGGAUUCGGAGGGACUCUUGCCGUAAAACCCCCAAAUUUUUAAAGGUUGACCUCGGAUCAGGUAGGAAUACCCGCUGAACUUAAGCAUAUCAAUAAGCGGAGGA
rnacentral:misc_RNA from 1 species